GAGUUUGAUCAUGGCUCAGAUUGAACGCUGGCGGCAGGCCUAACACAUGCAAGUCGAGCGGUAACAUUUCUAGCUUGCUGGAAGAUGACGAGCGGCGGACGGGUGAGUAAUGCUUGGGAACAUGCCUUUAGGUGGGGGACAACAGUUGGAAACGACUGCUAAUACCGCAUAAUGUCUACGGACCAAAGGGGGCUUCGGCUCUCGCCUUUAGAUUGGCCCAAGUGGGAUUAGCUAGUUGGUGAGGUAACGGCUCACCAAGGCGACGAUCCCUAGCUGGUUUGAGAGGAUGAUCAGCCACACUGGAACUGAGACACGGUCCAGACUCCUACGGGAGGCAGCAGUGGGGAAUAUUGCACAAUGGGCGCAAGCCUGAUGCAGCCAUGCCGCGUGUGUGAAGAAGGCCUUCGGGUUGUAAAGCACUUUCAGUAAGGAGGAAAGGUUGGUGGUUAAUACCCAUCAGCUGUGACGUUACUUACAGAAGAAGCACCGGCUAACUCCGUGCCAGCAGCCGCGGUAAUACGGAGGGUGCGAGCGUUAAUCGGAAUUACUGGGCGUAAAGCGUACGCAGGCGGUUGAUUAAGCGAGAUGUGAAAGCCCCGGGCUCAACCUGGGAACUGCAUUUCGAACUGGUCAACUAGAGUGUGAUAGAGGGUGGUAGAAUUUCAGGUGUAGCGGUGAAAUGCGUAGAGAUCUGAAAGGAAUACCGAUGGCGAAAGGCAGCCACCUGGGUCAACACUGACGCUCAUGUACGAAAGCGUGGGGAGCAAACAGGAUUAGAUACCCUGGUAGUCCACGCCGUAAACGAUGUCUACUAGAAGCUGGGGUCCUCGGACAACUUUUUCAAAGCUAACGCAUUAAGUAGACCGCCCUGGGGGGAGUACGGCCGCAAGGUUAAACUCAAAUGAAUUGACGGGGCCCGCACAAGCGGUGGAGCAUGUGGUUUAUUCGAUGCACGCGAGACUUACUACACUGACAUCCAGAGAAUCGCUAGAGAUAGCUUGUGCUUCGGACUCUGAGACAGUGCUGCAUGCUGUCGUCAGCCUCGUGUUGUUGAGAUGUGGUAGUCCCGCCACGAGCGCCAACCCCUAUCUUAGUGCCACGCGAGGUAAUGUUCGAACCUUAGAGAACUGCCCGGUAAUAAUACCGGCAGGAAAUGAUGGUGGACGACCACACACUCUCAAGAGUCUAA
rnacentral:rRNA from 1 species